GAUGAACGCUGGCGGCGUGCCUAAUACAUGCAAGUCGAGCGAACAGACGAGGAGCUUUCUCCUCUGACGUUAGCGGCUGACGGGUGAGUAACACGUGGAUAACCUACCUCUAUGACUGGGAUAACUUCGGGAAACCGGAGCUAAUACCGGAUAAUAUAUUGAACCGCAUGAUUCAAUAGUUAAAGACGGUUUUGCUGUCACUUAUAGAUGAUUCCGCGCCGCAUUAGCUAGUUGGUAAGGUAACGGCUUACCAAGGCAACGAUGCGUAGCCGACCUGAGAGGGUGAUCGGCCACACUGGAACUGAGACACGGUCCAGACUCCUACGGGAGGCAGCAGUAGGGAAUAUUGCGCAAUGGGCGAAAGCCUGACGGAGCAAUGCCGCGUGAGUGAUGAAGGUCUUCGGAUCGUAAAACUCUGUUAUUAGGGAAGAACAAAUGUGUAAGUAACUAUGCCCGUCUUGACGGUACCUAAACAGAAAGCAACGGCUAACUACGUG
rnacentral:rRNA from 1 species